rnacentral:misc_RNA from 1 species
GAUGAAGAACGUAGCGAAAUGCGACAAGUAAUGUGAAUUGCAGAAUUCCGUGAAUCAUCGAGUCUUUGAACGCACAUUGCGCCCCCUGGUAUUCCGGGGGGCAUGCCUGUCCGAGCGUCAUUGCUGCCCUCAAGCACGGCUUGUGUGUUGGGCCUCCGUCCUCCUCCCGGGGGACGGGCCCGAAAGGCAGCGGCGGCACCGCGUCCGGUCCUCGAGCGUAUGGGGCUUCGUCACCCGCUCUUGUAGGCCCGGUCGGCGCUUGCCGACACAUCAAUCUUUUUUCCAGGUUGACCUCGGAUCAGGUAGGGAUACCCGCUGAACUUAAGCAUAUCAAUAAGCGGAGGA